ACGUAUGUUGAUGUGGGAUGAGUGGGUUAGAGACGAUGAUUCUGUAUAGGGUUUUAAUUUUAAUAGUACAAUGUUAUCAACAUCUGUUUUUAAUUCAUUUUAUUAUUAUAGAAAAAGAAGAGAUCAUCACCAACACUGUGUUCCCGAGUUAAAAAUCCCUCCCCUUCCCUCCCCUCCCCUCCCCUCCCCUCCCCUCCAUGUCUUUCCAAAUUGGAAAGACUAUUUUCAGGCAAAAAAAACCCCAUUUUCCCUCCCCUCCCCCUGUUAAGUGGAUCUCUGGAACACCAUUUUCCCUCCCCUCCCCUCCCCUCCCCCUGUUAAGUAGAUCUCUGGAACACAGCGCAAAUCAUAACAAGAGGCUAGGGAUUUUCUAUUUGUUUUUUACCUUUUUGUGGUAAUAAAAUAAUUAAAAAUAAAUAAAACAAAAAACCCUUUUAUGGUAUUGAAAGUUCAAGAAAAAAGGUUUGUGGCUUUGUGGUUCUUGUUUUGCAGAUGCUCAAGAUUCUCUCAUGGUGGUUACUGGUUUUGUAAGGAGCUAAAAUGUGACAUGCAUGAACAAAUUUGUGGAUGAAAAUGGAGAAUUUAUCUGAAUUUGGUUAUCAAGUAUCCGGUAGCUCUAGAGGUUUAAAUUCUUCAGAGGCUUCAAACCGAAAUCCCAGAUCAGAUCAUGAUUCCGGGAUUAUAGCAGACAGAACAAGGCAAGAUAAGUCUGUGUUGACUCGGCUGAACCGAGUCAGAACUCAGUUCGGUUACUUUCGAGAAGAUGCCGGUGCAGUUAUUCGCCCGGUGGAACACAAAGAUGUUAGUUUGAGGCAGUGGUUAGAUGAGAGAACACGGGUCGUUAACGCUUUUGAAUGCUUGCAUAUAUUCAUACAAAUUGUAGAAAUCGUAAACUUGGCACAUUCACAAGGGAUUGUUGUUCAUAAUAUCCGGCCCUCUUGCUUUGUAAUGUCGUCGUUAAACCGUGUGUCGUUUAUAGAGUCUGCAUCUUGCUCAGAUUCAGAUUCGGAUUCUGAAUCUAAUGACGAUGUGUUGACUAGCCAGACAACCGGUCUUAAGGGCCAAAAUCUUGCCCAUACGGUAUCGGAAAACACAUGGUUGCAAUCGAGUUUGGAGAAUUUAGAGGCGAGUUGUAGUGAACAAACGGAAAAGAAACAACACUUCCCCAUGAAACGUAUAUUAGAAAUGGAAACCGAUUGGUAUACAAGCCCUGAGGAGGCUGAAGGCUCGCCGGGCUCUUUUGCGUCCGAUGUUUAUCGACUCGGGGUCCUUCUAUUUGAGUUGUAUUGCACAUGUAACUCAGCUGAAGAGAAGAACGCAACCAUGUCUAGCCUGCGACAUCGUGUUUUUCCUCCACCGAUACUACUAAAAUGGCCUAAAGUAGCAUUAUUUUGUCUCUGGUUAUUGCAUCCCGAGCCAGCUAGUAGACCGAAAAUAGAUGAAGUGUUGCAAAGCGAGUUUCUUACCGAACCUAAAGACAAAUUAGAUGAACGCGUGGCCGCGAUAGAUCUUAAAGAGAAGUUCGACGACCAGGAUUUGUUGCUGGAAUUUCUUUUAGUGAUGCAACAACGCAAACAAGAAGCUGCCGAUAAUUUGCGUAAUAUCGUUUCAGCCGUAACUUCAGAUUUGCAAGAAGUUGCGAAAUUGGAAUCGUUAAUCAACCGAAAACAAGAAUCAAAUACGAAUCUCGGAGUUCAAGUAGUUCAAGAUUCCCCAAACAAUUCUUCUAGUUCAGGAUUCAGAAAACGCACCCGUUUAAUCACUAACGUUCACCAAAACGAGUAUCACGCAUCCGAAAACCGAGGAAAUUCAAGCGCUCAAAGUUCAAGAUUGAUGAGGAACUUUCGGAAACUAGAAUCCGCUUACUUUUCGACUAGACGAAGGGCGUUUAGACCCGUUAACAGCAACAGUAAAGAAUCGGUUAGUGAUUUUUCAUCAGAAGAUCAGUUUGCAGGUAGACGAAGUAGAUGGAUAAACUCGUUUUUGGAUGGAUUAUGCAAGUAUCUGUCGUUUAGUAAACUGAAAGUCAAAGCCGAUUUGAAACAAGCUGACCUUUUAAGUUCUUCAAAUCUCGUUUGUUCUCUGAGUUUUGAUCGCGAUGGAGAUUUCUUUGCGACUGCUGGUGUAAAUAAGAAGAUUAAAGUUUUCGAAUACGAUUCAAUCUUGAACGGAAACCGCGACAUCCAUUAUCCUGUCGUCGAAAUGGCGAGUAGGUCGAAGUUUAGUAGUACAUGUUGGAACAGUUAUAUUAAAGGUCAGAUUGCUUCGAGUAAUUUUGACGGCGUAGUACAGGUAUGGGAUGUUACACGAAAUGAAGUGUAUAUGGAAAUGAGAGAGCACGAGAAGCGUGCAUGGUCGGUGGACUUCUCAUCAGCGGACCCCACAUUGCUAGCAAGCGGAAGCGAUGAUGGUUCUGUUAAACUCUGGAAUAUCAAUCAGGCAAUUCUAUUAUCGGAUUAUCAAUCAGGGAGCAAGUGUGGGUACCAUUAAGACAAAAGCGAAUGUCUGUUCCGUUCAGUUCCCGUUGGAUUCUGGUAACUCACUUGCGUUCGGUUCAGCUGAUCAUCGAGUAUAUUAUUACGAUCUGAGAAAUCCAAGCAGGCCCGUUUGCAUGUUUGUCGGACACGAGAAAACUGUUAGUUACGUCAAGUUCAUCGACUCGACGACCCUUGUAUCAUCGUCUACUGACAACACUUUGAAGCUUUGGGAUUUGUCUGAGUGCUCGUCACACGUUGUUGACUGUCCAGUUCAGUCCUUCACAGGUCACACAAACGUUAAGAACUUUGUCGGUUUAUCUGUAUCCGACGGUUACAUUGCCACCGGCUCAGAAACAAACGAGGUUUUCGUCUACCACAAAGCUUUCCCGAUGCCCGCUUUGUCGUACAAAUUCAACAGCACUGACCCGCUUUCAGGUGAUGAAGUGGAUGACGCUGAGCAAUUUGUGUCAUCGGUGUGUUGGCGGAAUCAAUCUUCUACUUUGGUUGCGGCAAAUUCCAUGGGAGAUAUCAAACUUUUGGAGAUGGUUUAGGAGGUAAACAAGCGUAAACUUUAAUAGUCAUUGCGCUAAAUGCGAAAUUGUUUAUACGGACAACUUUUUGUUCAUUUUAGAAGAUUAUGGUGUUAAAGAUCAUCACAACUUGUACCACAGAUAUUGUUUUAGUUGAGAAAGAAACUUGAGAAUUGAGAUAGCUCUUGUUCUUGUAUA